rnacentral:rRNA from 1 species
AACGCGAAGAACCUUACCCACCUUUGACAUGUACGGAAUUCGCCAGACAUGGCUUAGUGCUCGAAAGAGAACCGUAACACAGGGGCUGAAUGGUUGUCGUAAGUUCGUGUCGGAAAAUGUUGGGUUAAGUCCCGCAACGAGCGCAACCUCUGUCAUUAGUGGCUACAUUAAGGUGGGCCCUUUAUUGAAACUGCCGGUGACAAACCGGAGGAAGGUGGGGAUGACGUCAAGUACUUAUGGCCCUUAUAGGUGGGGUUACAAACUUCAUACAAUGGGUGGUACAAAGGGUUGCCAACCCGCGAGGGGGAGCUAAUUCCAUAAAACCAGUCGUAGUCCGGAUGGGAGUCUGCAACUCUACUGCCUAAAGUCGGAAUCGUUAGUAAUCGUGGAUCAGAAUGUCGGGGUGAAUACCUUCCCGGGUCUUGUACACAC